GGAGGAGGAAAACUGAAGGCUGAGGCAGGUCUUGUAUGUGAGUCUUGAUCAGACUUGUCUGUCCUGGCUCUUUGUGUGUCUGAGCUCAGUCUGUUUUACUGGUUACUUUCUCAGACUGACUGAAGUCCAGAAGAUGAGUGUUUGUGUGGAGGAAGAGGAGGACAGAGCUGAGUCUCCACGAUCCAGCUGUCUGUCUAUGAAGAGUGACUGGUCCAAAGACUUUGAUCAUCCAGCCUUCAGCCAUGAACCUGGACCCUCAGACACAAAAGGUCAGGACCACAGACUGAGAGCAGAGUCUCCAGGAUCCAGCUGUCUGUCUAUGAAGAG